GUCUCAAAGAUUAAGCCAUGCAUGUCUAAGUAUAAGCACUUGUACUGUGAAACUGCGAAUGGCUCAUUAAAUCAGUUAUCGUUUAUUUGAUUGUACUUUACUACAUGGAUACCUGUGGUAAUUCUAGAGCUAAUACAUGCGAAAAAUCCCGACUUCUGGAAGGGAUGUAUUUAUUAGAUUAAAAACCAAUGCGGAUCUUCGGGUCCGUUUUCUUGGUGAUUCAUGAUAACUUUUCGAAUCGCAUGGCCUAGAGCCGGCGAUAUUUCAUUCAAAUUUCUGCCCUAUCAACUGUCGAUGGUAAGGUAGUGGCUUACCAUGGUUAUAACGGGGGACGGAGAAUUAGGGUUCGAUUCCGGAGAGGGAGCCUGAGAAACGGCUACCACAUCUAAGGAAGGCAGCAGGCUCGAAAAUUACCCAAUCCCGACGCGGGGAGGUAGUGACAAGAAAUAACGAUACGGGGUCUUAAUAGGUCUCGCAAUUGGAAUGAGUACAAUUUAAAUCCUUUAACGAGGAUCAAUUGGAGGGCAAGUCUGGUG
rnacentral:rRNA from 1 species